rnacentral:tRNA from 1 species
AGGGUUGUAGUUUAAAAAACAUUUAAUUUGCAAUUAAAAAAUACUUAAUUAAAAGUCAUCCUUG